AGCAGCCGCCGCGGGAAUACGAAGGGUGCAAGCGUUAAUCGGAAUUACUGGGCGUAAAGCGUGCGUAGGCGGUUUGUUAAGUCUGUUGUGAAAUCCCCGGGCUCAACCUGGGAAUGGCAAUGGAUACUGGCAAGCUAGAGUGUGUCAGAGGAUGGUGGAAUUCCCGGUGUAGCGGUGAAAUGCGUAGAGAUCGGGAGGAACAUCAGUGGCGAAGGCGGCCAUCUGGGACAACACUGACGCUGAGGCACGAAAGCGUGGGGAGCAAACAGGAUUAGAUACCCCUGUAGUCCCUGUCUCUAUACA
rnacentral:rRNA from 1 species